AUGAAGUGGCUGCCGGAGAAGUUGCGCGUGGCGGCCCGCAGCUCGGCGACGGUGAACGCGUGCAUCCCCGACGAGGCCAGCGUGCGGGACAGGUCGUCGAAGGAGAGCGUCCGCAGCCGCGCCGUCGCGCUCGGCGCCCGCCGCAUCGACUUCUUCUUGCCCUUCCUGGUGGGCGGCCUCGACGGCGCCGUGGCCUUGGCCGUGGCCGUGGUCGCCUCGUCGCCGUCCGCCACCGCCGCCGGGUCCGUGGCGCCGCCGCGCGGGUGGAAGCAGCCCAUCAGGAACGCCCUCAUGGUGCCGAUGGAGGUCGAGUGGUUCCUUCCUUGGCGAUCGAGUGAAACGAACUGA
rnacentral:rRNA from 1 species